UACGUAGGGAGCAAGCGUUGUCCGGAAUCAUUGGGCGUAAAGAGCGCGUAGGCGGUCCGGUAAGUCGGUUGUGAAAACUGGGGGCUCAACCCUCAGAGGCCGACCGAUACUGCCGGGCUAGAGUCCGGAAGAGGCGAGUGGAAUUCCUGGUGUAGCGGUGAAAUGCGCAGAUAUCAGGAGGAACACCGAUGGCGAAGGCAGCUCGCUGGGACGGUACUGACGCUGAGGCGCGAAAGCGUGGGGAGCGAACAGG
rnacentral:rRNA from 1 species